UGGAGCUUCCAGAUACCCUGUUCU
rnacentral:piRNA from 1 species